UACGUAGGGGGCAAGCGUUGUCCGGAAUUAUUGGGCGUAAAGAGCUCGUAGGCGGCUUGUCGCGUCGUCCGUGAAAACCUGCGGCUCAACUGCAGGCUGGCGGUCGAUACGGGCAGGCUGGAGUUCGGUAGGGGAGACUGGAAUUCCUGGUGUAGCGGUGAAAUGCGCAGAUAUCAGGAGGAACACCGAUGGCGAAGGCAGGUCUCUGGGCCACUACUGACGCUGAGAAGCGAAAGCAUGGGGAGCGAACAGG
rnacentral:rRNA from 1 species